rnacentral:rRNA from 1 species
UGACGCUGGCGGCGUGCCUAACACAUGCAAGUCGAACGGUAACAGAUUGGAGCUUGCUUCAAUGCUGACGAGUGGCGCACGGGUGAGUAAUAUAUAGUUAAUGUACCCCUUAGACUAGGAUAGCCACUGGAAACGGUGAUUAAUACUGGAUAUACCUACUUGACAUAAGUUGAGUAGGGAAACGUUUUUUCGCUAAGGGAUCAGACUAUAUCGCAUCAGUUAGUUGGUGGGGUAAUGGCCUACCAAGACAAUGACGCGUAGCGGGUUUGAGAGGAUGAUCCGCCACACUGGUACUGAGACACGGACCAGACUCCUACGGGAGGCAGCAGUGAGGAAUAUUGCACAAUGGAGGAAACUCUGAUGCAGCAACGCCGCGUGGAGGAUGACGCAUUUCGGUGUGUAAACUCCUUUUAUCAAGGAAGAAAAUGACGGUACUUGAUGAAUAAGCACCGGCUAACUCCGUGCCAGCAGCCGCGGUAAUACGGAGGGUGCAAGCGUUACUCGGAAUCACUGGGCGUAAAGGACGCGUAGGCUGGUUUUUAAGUCUGAUGUGAAAUCCUAUGGCUCAACCAUAGAACUGCAUUGGAAACUGGGAACCUAGAGUAUGGAAGGGGCAGAUGGAAUUAGUGGUGUAGGGGUAAAAUCCGUAGAUAUCACUAGGAAUACCGAAAGCGAAAGCGAUCUGCUGGGACAUUACUGACGCUGAGGCGUGAAAGCGUGGGGAGCAAACGGGAUUAGAUACCCCGGUAGUCCACGCCCUGAACGAUGAAUGCUAGUCGUCGCGAUGCUUGACAUUGCGGUGAUGCAGUUAACACAUUAAGCAUUCCGCCUGGGGAGUACGGUC